GACGAACGCUGGCGGCGUGCUUAACACAUGCAAGUCGAACGGAAAGGCCCUGCUUUUGUGGGGUGCUCGUGUGGCGAACGGGUGAGUAACACGCGUGUAACCUGCCCUUGACUUUGGGAUAACUUCAGGAAACUGGGGCUAAUACCGGAUAGGAGCUCCUGCUGCAUGGUGGGGGUUGGAAAGUUUCGGCGGUUGGGGAUGGACUCGCGGCUUAUCAGCUUGUUGGUGGGGUAGUGGCUUACCAAGGCUUUGACGGGUAGCCGGCCUGAGAGGGUGAACGGCCACAUUGGGCCUGAGGUACGGACCAGACUCGAACCGGAGGCAGCAGUGGGGAAUAUUGCAGAAUGGCCGGAAGCCUGAUGCAACAGCGCCGCGUGCGGGAUGACGGCCUUCGGGUUGUAAACCGCUGUCGCAUGUGACGAAGCGUGAGUGACGGUAAUGGGUAAGAAAGCACCGGCUAACUACGUG
rnacentral:rRNA from 1 species